CAACGAUGAGAACGCAGCUCUAGGCCGGUCUGGAAAGGCAGCACAGUUGGGCCCAAGUGGCCCAACUCCCUGGAGGAGAGGACGGGCUCUGAAGACUCUUCCGGCUGCCCCUGAAACCCUGAAACCGCUUAGUUGUUUUUCUGGUUGACUAGCUGCUGCACGCAACUGUCAGCUGCUUGUGAACUGUGUGACGCCAGUUCGCGCUCCUGUUUGUUUUCUAAAAGGCACUGCCCUGAUUUUUUUUUAACGACUAAAUAAUAAUAAUCAUUUCAGUCUCCCUCUCCUGAGGUGUUCCUUGAUGUCUCUAGGGUGCUAGGGCUGGGCCAGCAUCUUUUCCUGCAAUUUUUUUAUCCUCCCAUGGACAGCAGGGAGAACACAGGCUGCACCAGGCUGUUACACCAGGCCUCCCCGCUGGGAUAAAUGCAGCUUGUUUCAAAAGUGAAGGAAGGAAGGAGAGAGCGGAGAGGACAUCAAUCCCCUCCUUCCCAAAGGUUGCACCUACCAGCGACAGUGAUGGUGAUCUGAAAAUGAGGCCUCUUAUCCUAACCUCCAUCCAUGGGCACAAGGCCAUAGUGAGCCCUAUUUUAGACAGAGAAUACUCUCCUCUGUCCACGGCUGCAAGGUUAUAGUGAGCCCCAUUGCUGGACAAAGAAUAUCCUCUUUUCCUUGGCACGGAUUUCCUUUCCCACAACCUCUUCACACCCUUCAGAUCACCAGCAAAAUUCUCCCUCCGCUUGCUUCUGGCCUGGGAAUGAGUUGCCAGGCAUUCGAUCCAUUCCUGGAAGAGAGACUUUGAAAGCUCAGAGAUUGGCAAGAAAGGUGGGCUUCCCAUAGUGACCUGGUCUCUAAAGGUGAGGCAAAGGGAAAAGCAGACAUUUUUCACUGAGAUUAGCUUUCUUGCCAGUUCCUCUUGAUUUUUCCUAAAAUAAAAGCACUUUUCCUUCUCAGCCUGGUUGCAUUUUAAAAGACGUCUUCUAGUGUUGCAGCUUUGAGGAAAACUUGGGCGCUGUAUCUGGAAGUCUGAAGAGAUUCUGGUUCAGGAUUGAUUCAGGAUUUCUCCUAGGAGGAACAGCGCAUGUGAUGCCCCUCUUUUCUGUGAUGCUUAC
rnacentral:lncRNA from 1 species